rnacentral:rRNA from 1 species
AUUGAACGCUGGCGGCAUGCCUUACACAUGCAAGUCGAACGGCAGCACGGGAGCAAUCCUGGUGGCGAGUGGCGAACGGGUGAGUAAUACAUCGGAACGUGCCCAAUCGUGGGGGAUAACGCAGCGAAAGCUGUGCUAAUACCGCAUACGAUCUACGGAUGAAAGCAGGGGAUCGCAAGACCUUGCGCGAAUGGAGCGGCCGAUGGCAGAUUAGGUAGUUGGUGAGGUAAAGGCUCACCAAGCCGUCGAUCUGUAGCUGGUCUGAGAGGACGACCAGCCACACUGGGACUGAGACACGGCCCAGACCCCUACGGGAGGCAGCAGUGGGGAAUUUUGGACAAUGGGCGAAAGCCUGAUCCAGCCAUGCCGCGUGCAGGAUGAAGGCCUUCGGGUUGUAAACUGCUUUUGUACGGAACGAAACGGCCUUUUCUAAUAAAGAGGGCUAAUGACGGUACCGUAAGAAUAAGCACCGGCUAACUACGUGCCAGCAGCCGCGGUAAUACGUAGGGUGCAAGCGUUAAUCGGAAUUACUGGGCGUAAAGCGUGCGCAGGCGGUUAUGUAAGACAGUUGUGAAAUCCCCGGGCUCAACCUGGGAACUGCAUCUGUGACUGCAUAGCUAGAGUACGGUAGAGGGGGAUGGAAUUCCGCGUGUAGCAGUGAAAUGCGUGAUAUGCGGAGGAACACCGAUGGCGAAGGCAUCUCCUGGACCUGUACUGACGCUCAUGCACCAAAGAGUGGGGGAGGAA